rnacentral:rRNA from 1 species
CAAUAGCGUAUAUUAAAGUUGUUGCAGUUAAAAAGCUCGUAGUUGGAUUUCUGGUAGGAGUGACCGUUCCGAACUUGAUUGUUCGUGUAUUGUGUUUUCUCCAGCCAUCCUUGUGGAGAACUUUUCUUGCAUUAAUUUGUAGGGAUUGGGACCCGCAUCGUUUACUGUGAAAAAAUUAGAGUGUUUAAAGCAGGCAAUCGCUUGAAUACAUUAGCAUGGAAUAAUAAGAUAGGACUUUGGUACUAUUCUGUUGGUUUGCAUACCAAAUUAAUGAUCAACAGGAACAGUUUGAGGAUAUUCGUAUGAACAUGUCAGAGGUGAAAUUCUUGGAUUUUGAUCAGACGAACUACUGCGAAAGCAUUUAUCAAGGAUGUUUUCAUUAA